AUCUAUUCACUGUGUUCUUAGAAAUGUAAUGGAUAAUGGAAUUAAAACUUUAUAAUUUCAGAAAUAUGGACCUAUGUAAAUUUGAUAAAAAAAUGAAUUGUUGAGGAGAGCUGUAAUGGAGUUUAUGUCGAAAAAUCCAGAACUUAGAAACCUCCUGACUGCAUCUGUUAAAAGGAGUGUUCUCUUAGAAAGUUUGGCGACAGAAAACUUUCAGUCUGGACAGCUGAAAUUAAUCACAGUAUUGGGAUCUAGGUUUGGAACUGGCGUAUCAUCACUUCUACCGUAUACUUCUGCCAAAGCAAGUCACAUAGCUGAAACCAGACUGAGGGCUGGAGAAAUACACGUGGAACCUUUAGAAGGAAAGACAGCAGUGUCCCAGGGCAGAGACUGGUGAAGCCGGAAGACUUGUUGAAAGAUUGAGAGAAGACUUACUUGAUGGACCAGAGCAACGUUGGCUGUGGAGAUGGAGUUUAUCUGGAAACUUGUCAACCAAGCUGUUAAGUUGAGGGAAGCAUACAAGCAAGGCCACUGCCAAGCUCUGAAGAAACAUAAAAAUUUCAGUGUGAAUUUGUGAAAAUAUAUGAAUCUGCAGAAACCAGGCAAGCCCUGAGCUGGGAAAAAGGAAACCUGAAUCCUAAGAUCAUCUCUGCUCUUCCAAUUACUA